ACUAACAUUAGUAAGACAUCUAUAAAAUAGUGAUAGUCUCAAACUAUAGAUUUAAAAAAAAAAGCUCUUUCACAUCACUGAUUUGAUACUGACAUGCUACUGAUUUGAUACUGACAUAACAUAGUCUUCACUUUGGUCAACACUGAUUUACAAUCUCAUGUCAUGAUGAAAGCACACUACAUUUCAGUGUAAUAAGCAGUAACAAAUUGUACCUAUGUCAACAUUAUUGAAAAA